UUACGGCCAUAUCACGUUGAAACAUCAGUUCCAGUACGAUCAUCAGAAUUAAGCAACGUCAAGCUUGGUCAGUAUCUAGAUGGGUGACGGCCUGGGAAUACCAAGUGCUGUAAG